UUGCCAGAUGGCAGCAUGGGAAUGAAAAAUGUGAUAUGCAUAUUUGGAGUCUGUGUAAAUGUUGACUCAUGUGUCUUUGGAAAGGGUUAGGGCUCUGGUGAGAGCUAUGAGUUCUGUUUUUUGAGAGGAGGUUCCUGGAGGUAGGAGUUUAGCUUUAGUUACUCAGUCAAGGGAAACAAUCACAUACCCAGCAAUUUUUGGGGAGCCAGUGGGCCCGGAAGAGGAGCCAUUUAUAAAUAGCUGGUCAUCGGGGUUGGUGAGAGGCUCGGAGGAAAUGUUUGGAAAGUGUGGCUGUAGGUGAUCCAGGAUGUCAGUGCAAGAAUGAGUAGGAGGGGAAGAGGAUACGGGGAGUAAGGAUGCUGGGUUGAGAGGAGCACUUUUGGCAAGACUGAAUUCAGGAUUUUUGAUAAAGAGGGCAUGGAGUAAUUGAAUCCGGGAAGGAGGAAGGGAGCUUAAUGCUUGGGAGGAAAGGAGAUUUUGUAGAUUAUGAGGACUGUGGAUGGUGGUAUUUUGGCUGAAUGUUAAGGAGCUGCUGUCCAUAGACUAAGUAAAGGAAUUAUUUAGAAGGGGUUGGUCUGUUAGGUUUGGAAAGGGUAUAAGAAAGGUUUGAGCAGUGUUUACACAGAAGUGUGCAGGGUCUUGACAGGUAGAAAUUUCAGGUAAGAGCAUGGCUGGGUUUAGACGAGAGCUGGUUAGCAUGGUGAUUUGGGGAGUUUUUAUGAAUAGAGCAUACAGUUGGAGAAGCCGUGAGGGAGAGAUGAAACUUAGUACACUGUGGUGAGUUAGCAUGUUUUUGAUGUUAUGGGUUGAAUAAACUGUUAGGUCGGCAUGGAGAGAUGGUUUUAGGCUUUUAAGGUGAGGACAGCAGCUGCUGCCAAUGCUUGGAGACAGGCAGGCCGUUUGAGAACUGUGGCUUUAAGCUGUUUAGAGAGGUAGGCAACAACCUGGAGGAUGGGUCCUUUAGACUGGGUUAGAACACCCAGUGUAACUUUAUGCCAUCUGUUGGUAUAGAGGGAGAAAGGUUUGGUGAGGUCUGGGAGAGUGAGGAUGGGGCUGAGGUGAGAGAUUUUUGGAGGAGACAGAAAGGUUGGGUAAUAGGCUAUGCAGAGUUUAAAGGCUCAUGGAGAGGGCCUUUAGUAUCUUGGUAUAACAGUUUGGCAAGUAGAGCAAAGGAGGGAAACUAGAGCCUAAAAUAUCCUGCUAGUCCUAGAAAAGAGAGAAUUUCUUGUUUAGUUUGUGGAGGUGGGAGGGACUGGAGGAGGGAUAUGCGGUGGGUUGUGAGCCUUGAGGUUUGCACGGUAAGGGCUAGGCCUAGGUAGGAGACUGAGGGGGUGUAUAUUUGUGUUUUUUUAGGGGAGACCUAAUACCUCUGUUCUGCUAAGAAGUUUAAAAGAGAGAGAUAGUCUGGGCGUUGCAGUUUUUUUGAGAAGGGCUACACAGGAGCAGAUUAUUAACACAUUGAGGGAGAAUGGAUGCUUUUAGGGAUAAGGUACGGAGGUCGUGAGCAAGGGCCUGCCUAAAAAGGUGGAAGCUGUCUCUGAAACCUUGAGGUAGUACCCACCAGGUAAGCUGACGUGAAAGGUGGGUGUUGGGGUUUUUUAAUGUAAAGGUAAAGAGGUUUUGGGAAUUAGGAUGUAAAGGAAUUGUGGAAAAAGCAUCUUUUAGGCUUAGAAUAGAAAAAUGGGUGGUACUGGAGGGAAUUGUGGAAAGUAAAGUGUAUGGAUUAGGAAUUACUGGACAUACUGGGAGUACAGCUUGGUUAAUGAACCUGAGGUCCUGGACUAAGCAAUAAGUUUUAUCUGGCUUUUUAACAGGUAGAAUUGGUGUGUUAAAAGGGCAGUCUGUUGGGUAGAGUAAGUGACUGGUGAGGAGGUGAGAAAUGGUAGGCUUUAGGCCUAUGAGAGCUCCUUGGGGGAUGGAAUACUGCUUUUGUGUCAGGAAAUGGAUGGGGUUAACUACAGAUGGGGAAUAAGGAAAGGUUGCAUGUUUUAAGGUGGGAGGUUGGAGGAGUAGAAGAAAGUUGGAAAUAUUAGAGGGGUCUGGAUGGCUGUGUUGGGUGUUGGGUACUACGGGGAAUGUGGAAGUGGAGAGUAGUGUGGAGUUUUGAAAGGAUGUUUCUGCCUAGGAGUGGAGUUGGAUAUGAGGGCUGGACUGAGAAAGAGUGAGUGAAGGAAAAGGUGUGUAGGGAGCAGAAAAGUGGAGGGGUGGCUUGGGGUUUGGAGAUUUGUCCAUCAUUUCCCACAACAGAGACUUGGGAGGACUGGGUGGGUCCUGGUCUGGGUGGGUCCCAGACUGGGUCUGCUUUACCUGAAAAGGUAAAGCAGAAUAGGUUGCCCUGGUAUUCAUUAAAAAAUAUACUGGCCUACUUGCCACCAUCAGGGUUACCCUUGGAUUGGAUGAAGAGAUGGUAGUUGCCAGAGUGUCCAUUCCAGGGCACCGUUAGUCUUCAGUGGCAAGGCCAAUGAGUUCCUAGUAGGAGGUUUUGGCCGGCUCAGGAAGGGAUGGGGGUGGUCCUUGUUGGGGCAGCUCACAGUCCAACUUCCAGUGGUGUCCUCCGCAGAGGGGGCACGGCCUGGUGGGCUUACCUGGGUAUGGGCAUUGUCUGGGCCAGUGGCCUUUAUUGCCGCAUUUGAAACAGGAGUCAGGUGGAGGUGGAUUAUUAGGAGGCUUCCGUGUAGAGCCGCGGCCCAGUGGCCUGCAGGGCCUCUGACGGCAGAGGCAAGCAUUUGAAACUCUGCCUGUUUUUGUCUUUUACUUUCCUCAUUAUGAUUGUUAAAAGGCAUUGAAGGCUAAAUUAAGAAGGUUUUGUUGUGGGGUUUGAGGGCCAUUGUCAACCUUCUGAAGCUUGUGCCGAAUAUUGGGGAGUGGAUUGGGAGAUGAACUGAAGGUUUAAGAUAGUGGUUCCUUUUGGGCUGGCUGGGUCUAGCUUGAUAUAUAGGCUUAUGGCUUUAGUUAAACGAGAGAGAAAAAGGGCUGGGUUUUUGUCAGGACUUUGGGUGAUUUCUGAAAGUUUUUUUUGUAGUUUACUGCUUUAUGGGCACGCUUUUUGAGCCCUGCAAGCAGAUAUAUAAUUGUGUGGUCUUGAUGGCAGUGCCCAGAGGCCUUUUUUGAUCAUUCCAUUGGGGUUCCUGGUUGGGGACUGCCUCUGUGCUAGUAGGCUGGGUAGGAGCUUGGUGACGAAUUGUAUCAGUAUGUGCCUGAGCUAGGGUUUAGAAACGGUUCUGCUUUUUUGGGGUGAGGGUGGAAGAGAGGAUAACAUAGAGGUUAUGCUAAGUUAGUUUAUAAGACUGGGUAAGGUACUGAAACUUUUUAAUAUAAGAGGUAGGGUUUUUUGGAAAUGAACUGAGUCUUUUGUUAAUUAGAGAGAUAUUAGUGAGGGAGAAGGGAAUUUUAACAAUACCUUUAGCUCCUGCUGCUUCCUGAAGGAGAAGCAAGGGAGCUGGUUGCUGAGCAUGUUGGGCCCAAGAGCAGGUGAGAGGCAGAGAUGGAGAGGACUCAGAGUCGGAGGCAGGAUGGUUGGAGAGAAGGGGAGAGAGAGAGCCUGAGCAGAGACAUACAGCGGGGGAUCAUGCUGUUCCAGUGGAGGAUUAUGAUGCUGUUAGGAAGGAGGAAAAUCGGCGAGUCAAAGGAAGAGGAGUUGUCGGCUGGGGCUACUGGGUUGAGGGGAGCAGGGGGCGAGUCGGGUUUGGAGCGCAUGAGGAGAAUUUGAAAAGUAGAGCAGGAUUGGCAGAGGGAAGGAUGACUAAGGAGAGUAAAGAAAGCCUGAACGUAAGGAAUCUCAGACCACUUCCCAUUGCGGUAGCAAAAGUUGUCUAAGUCUCUGAGCACGUGGGAGUUGAAAGUGCCAUUUUUGGGCCAUUGAGAGCCACGGUCUAAUUUGCAUUGAGGCCAUGCGGUACUGAAGCAAAAGAUAAGCCUCUUAGGGCAGAUUUCUGAACGGAGGCCGACAGCCUUGAGAUUGCGAAGGAGACAUCUAAGCUGGGUAGUUUUAGGAGUAGACUGAGAGGCUCUCAUAGCGAAUGGAGCGUGGUGGGCGGGGGUGGGUGGUAGAGGAAGAGACUUCUGGUGGUGACAAGGACGACGGGAGAGCUUGCCCGGAAUAGAGGAGGUAACCGCUGUGUCGGGCGUCCCUGAAAUGGAGGGACCAGAGAGAGGCCCGGAGGCCGGAGGAAGCCCUUGGCCCAGCGCUGGGGUUUUCGGAAACGGAGAGACGGACGGGUUCCGGGGAAGGGCAACAGUCUCUUUUUACUCACCCUGGCGGAGGAUUUGAUGGUGGAUGAGGUUGCCAGCAAAGGGAGAAUCUAGGAGAUUCUCUGGGUCUUCGGCAGGUUCGGGAAAGGUCUUACUCUGAGAACCAGGCUGCAGUGCAGUAGCAUGAUCACGGAUCACUACAGCCUCAAACUCUCAGGCUCUGGAGACUCUCCCCUCAGCCUCCCAAGUAGCUGGGACCACAGGCACCUACUACCAUGCCCAGGACUCAUGUGAUUAUACUGAACUGACCCAGAUAACCCAGGAUAAUUCACAUCUCAAGACCCUUAAACUUGAUGACGUCUGCAAAGUCCCUUUUGCCGUAAGGUUAUAUUGGCAUAUGGUCCAGGAAUUAGUGCAGAGCCACAAUCUCAGAAAGAAAAUGAGAGUGGAUAAUGAAGACAGAUCAUCUGGGUGUAAACCUGAGGAUAUUCCAGAAUAUAGAGGUUAGAGAGAUAAGAAAGAAACUAGCAAGGAAACUAAGGAGCAGCCUCUAAGUAGAAGGAAAAGAAUGGUGAGUGGUAAUUGGAGGUGAAGACAGUUUCAAGGGAGGGUAUGUUAAUUGCUGCUGACACAUCAAGGAAGAUGAGGACUGAGCAUUGACCAUUGGAUUUAGCAACAUGGAGUUUUCUGCUGACCUGGACCUGAGCAGUUUUAAUGGAGUGGUGGGGGCAAUGCAUGACAGAAGAGAAUUCAAGACAGAAGGGACUUUUCCAAAAAAAAAAGGUAUACAAAUGGUUAAUGUGCAACGUGGAAAGAUGUUCACCAAUAUUAGUCAUUUAGGAAAUGAAAAUCAAAAGCACAAUGAGUUACCAGUUCACACACACUCAGAAGGCAAUAAUCAAAGAAAUGGACAAUAGCAAGGGUUGGGAAGGAUAUGGAGAUAUUCUCCCACAUUGCUGGUGGAAUGUAAAAAUGGUGAAGGUGAAGGUGGAAAAACAGAAAUGAAGUAUUGAGAGGGAGAUGGAAUAUAAGAAGCUUUCUGACAGAUAACCCAAUGGAAUAAACUGACUGACUGGGCAUCUGAAAUGAGUAAGAAGGAGUCAAAAAUGAGCAAAAUUAUGCUUCUCUGUGGAUGCAAAUCAUAUCUCCAUUACUUACACUCAGGAGAACUUGUAUGAAGUAGUUAACUUCUCUGGAUUUUAGCUUUUUCAUGUGUACAAUGGGGGGCUUAUGCCUCAUAGAGUUGUAGAAACUGUAAAUGAGAGACUUAUGAAAAGCCUACUGAAUGACAUUAUGAUUAAUAAUAUCAUCAGUGGAAGGUGAUUUGAGGAUGUGAUGCUGUUAUCCCUGACAUGGGCAGGAGGGAACUUGGACAAAGACCAAGGAAGAAAAUAUCUCUUCUCUGAAUGUCUUGUCUGCAUUUGAGUGCAAUGUCCUUUAUUCCGUGUCUUCCACCCAAUCAGGGCCCUACUGCCACUUAAGGGGUAAUUUCUCUUUCAAUCAUUAGUUGUUCCAGCACCAAGAAGCUUAGCCUCAGUUGAGGCACCUGAGUCAGGAGGCCAGGAUCCUUGGGAGAUUGACAACAGGAGGAUACUCCCAUCAGAAUACUCCAGGAUUCCAACAGUAUCUUAGUCUAUUUGGCUACUAUAAUAAAAUACCUUAGAUGUAUAAAUCACUGGGCAAUUUGUAUAUAAUAGAAAUUUAUUUCUCACAGUCUGGAGGCUGAGAAGUCUAAUAUCAAGGCACCAGUAGAUUCAGGAUCUGGUAAGGCAGAUUCAGGAUCUGGUAAGGCAGAUUCAGGGUCUCUUCAUCUCACCUUCAGCUCCAUAGAUGGCAUCUUAUUGUGAUAUCAUCACAUAGCAGAGAGGGAAACACUGCACUCAGUGGUGAAAGGGGAGAACAGUAUGUCCGCACAUGAUGGAAGGUGGGAACACCAUGGCCUCACAUUAUGGAAGCAGGCAACACUGUGUCCUCACAUGGUGGAAGGGGCAAUACUGUGUCCUCACAUGAUGGAAAGCAGGAACACCAUGUUCUCACAUGGUGGAAGGGGAAAUACUGUGUCCUCACAUGAUGGAAAGUGGGAACACUGUGUCCUCACAUGGUGGAAGGGGCAAUACUGUGUCCUCACAUGGUGGAAGGGGCAAUACUGUGUCCUCACAUGGUGGAAGGGGCAAUACUGUGUCAUUACGUAGUGGAAGCAGGGAACACUAUGUCCUUACAUAAUGGAAGGAGAAACACCACGUCCUCAUAUGUUGGAAGUGGGGAACACCAUGUCCUCAUAUGGAGAAAGGGGGUAAGACUAUGUCCUCACAUGGUGGAAGGGAGCAACACUGUGUCCUCACAUGGUGAAAGGCAGGAACAUCAUGUCCUUAUAUGGUGGAAGGGGGAAACACAAUGUCUUCACAUGAUCCAAGGCAGGAACACUGUGUCCUCACAUGGUGGAAGUGGGGAACACUGUAUUCUCACAUGGUGGAAGGAGGAACACUGUGCCCUCACAUGGUUGAAGUGACAGAAGGGCAAAAGGGGUGACACUGUCCUCAAGCCAUUUUAUGAGUACCAAUCCCAUUCUUGGGACCUAAUUGCCUCCUAAAACCCGGCUCUUCUUCAUGCUUUUGCAUUGGGGAUUAAGUUCCAACAUGAAACAUCCAAACCAUAGCAACGGUCUUCAGUGACCAUUGUCAUGAGGGGAAAAGAUAGGAGCUUUGGAAUCAUCCAGUGUUGGAUCUAAGGCUUUGCUCUGCCACCAACUAGUUUUGAAUACUGUUGACCUAUACCAACUAUAGUAGGUUCUUAUAACAAUUAAAAGGAAUAUCAGAGUAAAAUGUGUAUUUAUAAUGUAAUGUUUUCAACAGAAGAAAAUAUAAAUAAAAAUUUAUUGGGUCCUUUGAAUGCAGAGGAAUUUUAAGUUUGAUAUCAUUGGAAGAAAUCAUAAACAAGAAGAGUAAAACAUUUAGUAUCUUAAAAUUAAAAAUGUAUUUAAAGAAGAAUUAAAAAGAAUAAUAUGUGCAAAGUG